GUCCUUGUAGUUGAAUGGAUACAACAAGCCCCUCCUAAGGGCUAGGUACAAGUUCGAUUCUUGUCGAGGACACCA
rnacentral:tRNA from 1 species